AUGCGGGUGCUCACCACCACCGGGGUAUUCUCCAUUGUCCAAGGCAAAGGCAGCAACGACCACGCCGGUGAUGGCGCUGCGUAUUACAAGCUCACGCGGGUCUCCCGGCUCCUUGUCGAGAGAUCACCGCACAACCUGUCCCCGAUGGUGGGCACCAUCGUCAACACGUUAUGCUGGACCUCUCUCCUCAAAAUGCCCGAGUGGUUUACCCAAGGCCAAGAGGGAGAGUCGGCACAGUCGCACUCGCUCGUCCAGCUGGCCAACGGCUGCACGUUCUGGGACACCACCAAGGUCGAUGGCGGCUUGUUCAACGACGGCAUGGCCGCGGACAGCCGCAUCGCCAUGAAGGUCCUGUUGAAGGAGCACGGCGGAGCGUUCGGGGAAGUGAAAAGCUCGCUGGUGGACAUCGGCGGCAACCAUGGCGCCACCGCGUCGGCCGUGGCGAGAGCGUUCCCGCACCUCAAGUGCAGCGUUCUGGACCUCCCACACGUCGUCGCCGCGGCUCCCGCCAGCGACAUUUUGACCUUCGUCGCCGGAAAUAUGUUCGAGUAUGUCCCACCUGCGGAUGCUGUUCUACUCAAGUGGAUUUUGCAUGACUGGAAACACGAAGAUUGCGUCAAGAUAAUGCGCCGGUGCAAGGAAGCGAUCCCAACGAAAGAAGCCGGAGGAAAGGUGAUAAUCAUCGACAUGGUGGUGGGAUAUCCGGUGACUCAGCCCAACCAUUCCAAAGAGGCGCAGGUUUUGUUAGAUAUUUACAUGAUGGGCUCCGAUGGAAUGGAGCGAGAGGAAAACGAGUGGAGCUUGAUUUUCUCCGAAGCCGGGUUCAGCGACUACAAGAUCACUCCAACCAAUGGGAUUUGA
rnacentral:rRNA from 1 species